rnacentral:piRNA from 1 species
UCCCAGUACCAUUAGGAUGUUAGUGUC